UAAGUAACGAUAAAGCGGGUGAAAAGCCCGCUCGCCGGAAGACCAAGGGUUCCUGUCCAACGUUAAUCGGGGCAGGGUGAGUCGACCCCUAAGGCGAGGCCGAAAGGCGUAGUCGAUGGGAAACGGGUUAAUAUUCCCGUACUUGGUGUUACUGCGAAGGGGGGACGGAGAAGGCUAUGUUGGCCGGGCGACGGUUGUCCCGGUUUAAGCGUGUAGGUGUGUGUUCCAGGUAAAUCCGGUUCACUUUAACACUGAGGCGUGAUGACGAGGCACUACGGUGCUGAAGCAACAAAUGCCCUGCUUCCAGGAAAAGCCUCUAAGCAUCAGGUAACAUCAAAUCGUACCCCAAACCGACACAGGUGGUCAGGUAGAGAAUACCAAGGCGCUUGAGAGAACUCGGGUGAAGGAACUAGGCAAAAUGGUGCCGUAACUUCGGGAGAAGGCACGCUGACAC
rnacentral:rRNA from 2 species